rnacentral:rRNA from 1 species
UUGGCCUUGACAUACUAAGAACUUUCCAGGGAUGGAUUGGUGCCUUCGGGAACUUAGAUACAGGUGCUGCAUGGCUGUCGUCAGCUCGUGUCGUGAGAUGUUGGGUUAAGUCCCCGNAACGAGCGCAACCCUUUUCCUAUUUGCCAGCGGGUCAUGCCGGGAACUUUAAGGAUACUGCCAGUGACAAACUGGAGGAAGGCGGGGACGACGUCAAGUCAUCAUGGCCCUUACGGCCAGGGCUACACACGUGCUACAAUGGUCGGUACAAAGGGUUGCUACCUCGCGAGAGGAUGCUAAUCUCAAAAAGCCGAUCGUAGUCCGGAUCGCAGUCUGCAACUCGACUGCGUGAAGUCGGAAUCGCUAGUAAUCGCGGAUCAGAAUGCCGCGGUGAAUACGUUCCCGGGCCUUGUACACACCGCCCGUCACACCAUGGGAGUUUGUUGCACCAGAAGUAGGUAGUCUAACCGCAAGGAGGACGCUUACCACGGUGUGGCCGAUGACUGGGGUGAAGUCGUAACAAGGUAGGCGUAGAUGA